rnacentral:rRNA from 1 species
GAUGAACGCUGGCGGCGUGCCUAAUACAUGCAAGUCGAGCGAACAGACGAGGAGCUUGCUCCUCUGACGUUAGCGGCGGACGGGUGAGUAACACGUGGAUAACCUACCUAUAAGACUGGGAUAACUUCGGGAAACCGGAGCUAAUACCGGAUAAUAUAUUGAACCGCAUGGUUCAAUAGUGAAAGACGGUUUUGCUGUCACUUAUAGAUGGAUCCGCGCCGCAUUAGCUAGUUGGUAAGGUAACGGCUUACCAAGGCAACGAUGCGUAGCCGACCUGAGAGGGUGAUCGGCCACACUGGAACUGGGACACGGUGCAGACUCCUACGGGAGGCAGCAGUAGGGAAUCUUCCGCAAUGGGCGAAAGCCUGACGGAGCAACGCCGCGUGAGUGAUGAAGGUCUUCGGAUCGUAAAACUCUGUUAUUAGGGAAGAACAAAUGUGUAAGUAACUAUGCACGUCUUGACGGUACCUAAUCAGAAAGCCACGGCUAACUACGUG